GAUGAACGCUAGCUACAGGCUUAACACAUGCAAGUCGCGGGGUCUGUUUCGGCAGACGACCGGCGCACGGGUGAGUAACGCGUAUCCAACCUGCCCCUCUCUUUGGCAUAGCCUUUCGAAAGAGAGAUUAAUUCCGAAUAACGUAGUAACGUUGCCUGAUGAUACUACGAAAGCUCCGGCGGAGAGGGAUGGGGAUGCGUUCCAUUAGGUAGUAGGCGGGUAACGGCCCGCCUAGCCAACGAUGGAUAGGGGUUCUGAGAGGAAGGUCCCCCACAUUGGAACUGAGACACGGUCCAAACUCCUACGGGAGGCAGCAGUGAGGAAUAUUGGUCAAUGGGCGCAAGCCUGAACCAGCCAAGUAGCGUGAGGGAAGACGGUCCUACGGAUUGUAAACCUCUUUUGUCGGGGAGCAAGGGCUCUACGUGUAGAGUGGUGAGAGUACCCGAAGAAAAAGCAUCGGCUAACUCCGUG
rnacentral:rRNA from 1 species